AACUAAACAUUUUAUAUAAGUUAAAGACGUACACUUUUAUUUACAUAACUUGAUGGACAUCAUUAGUCGGUACAUCAAAAUGACAAGGCUUUCUAUACUCGGCUAUAUUUCAAAAGAUGACCGACAUAUCUUCCAAUAGUCAUAUACUUAAAGUCCAUCGAUUAGUAUCGGCGUCCAAAAGUUCCUUCAUCUGCUGUCCUCCUCCCCGUGGCCAUAUCCAACCACUCAAUCCAUUUGCUGGUAGCGGUAGCGGUAGAAGUAUCUUAUCUAGUCUGAAAUGUUAGUCCUCAAACGGGGUGAGUACAACCACUCAACAGUAAAAGAUUCAUCAAGCUAUAUCAAGCAUUACUAUUAAUAUCCAGAUUCAAGUAUGGUAGACAAAAUAGGCAAUCCAUGAAUGAGUAUGCAUCUAAACCAUAUAACUCUUCGAUGCAAUGACUAGUGCAUUUUCAACCAAUAAGAUGUAUCGUGUCCAGCCACACAAGUCCCGAUCAUGGGGCCAAACUGUAAUGACACGUCCUAUUCCAUGCCAUACAAUUUAGUCCCAUAACCAAACCACACUCACACUUAAUAUAAUCGUCCGUUUUAUCAUUCAAAAGGUUUCAUCCCCUAGAGGACCAAUGUUUGCAUCCUUCUGGGAUUCUGCACCCAACCUGGCGUCACAGAAACAACCGGGCAUGUAUUCAAAAUACAACCAGGCAUCCAAAGGGCAUCGACUCAUUCGAACAUCUGGGCAUCUCGCACCCCACCUGGCAUCACGAAGGAUCGCCGGGGCUCGCCAUAAAAAUGGUUACCCCUACCCUUCGAGCAUGCAUAUCAUAAUACAACCCCUCACCCUCCGGGCAUGUAUCAUAAUAUAACCGGGCAUCCCGAUACUCCCGGGGAAAAACCUCUGGGCAUGUAUUUAUAAUACAACCAGGCAUCCAAAGAGCAUCGACUCAUUCGAACCUCUGGGCAUCCCGACUCCCGGGACAUCGUUGACCCGAGGGUCCAACGGCAACAUUAACAUCUUAGAUUUACCAGAAUACUUUCAAAUGCCAAGGACAAUCCAUUUCAUGCAUUCACUAUCCAAUCUCAAAAUUGCACAAAUAUCCACAACCAGUACCAUCAUAUCACAUAACCAUUUCAAACAUAUUCACCUUUGGGACAUUUUGUGAAAAUUCGAAAAUAGAGCAACCCGAUUUUUACCAUGCACAGUUCUGGUAAAUAUUUCGAAAUAAAUACUAAAUGAGCUCGAAAAAUUGUGAAUUUUUGACAUGUUAUCAAUGAGACCCUAAGGAAAAAGUUUCAAGAAGAACAAUAAGUCAAAUUCCUUAUGUAUCGAGAGUAAAAAUUCCGGUAUUCCUUACUAACGUUCUGUAAAAUUUCCAGAUUUAACAUUUCUGUAUAAAAAUAAUUUCGUCGACCAAAUCUUGUCCAUUUAUGCUAAAUUUUUUAUAUGUUACUCUUACAGAUGUUCUUUCCAACUUUCAUUAAGGAUUCGAAGUCAAAUUUUGGCUAGAAAAUUCCAGAAAAAUCGAGAAAUCACCGGAGGUCAUAUUGUUCUUGCAAAAACAGUUUACUAACCUAAAGAGAAAUAUUCCUAUCCUUGAAUCUCGGCAUUCAACGUCCACGGCCAAGCAUUUACAAAUGUAUUACACCAUCUUACAGCCUCUUCACUUCCAAAAAUCCACCAUAGCUAGAUCCUUGAGUUCUUAUUUCAAUUCAAAAACCGAAAUCCAUAGAACAUACUCUGUUUUUGCUCAGUUUCUUAGUUCAGCUUCAUCUCAUUCAUCUAAAAUCAACAUGCAGCUCCAAAUUCUGAUUUUUCUCUCAUCUACCAGCACUUCACUAGAUAAUUACAGCAAGCAAAACAUAGAUCGAUGAACUUUCACUUGCCUCAACACCUAGCUUGCUUGGCAACCAAAAACAGAGACUUGGAACUUUGAACGCAGCUCAAUCGGCGACGGGGAUUGGCGGCGUUGACGGCGGCAGCAGGCGUGCUCAUGGCGGGGCUAACCUCCUCUCUCUCCCUCGCGGCUCACUCACAAUUUUUCUCACUCGGUUCCUCCUUCUCUCUCUCUAUCCGAAUUCUUU
rnacentral:lncRNA from 1 species